GACGACGUAUGAUCCCCUCAACGACUACGACCCGAACCAUUGGAUCCUGACCCGGUAACUUUAUCGAUCGACCCGUUUACCUGCUUCAUUUCCUCUCUUAUUCUCUGUUUGUGAUUCUUGUUGUGGACAUUGAACUAUUGCGAUAAUUGGAGUUUGAUCACUGCCUCCAGAUGAUAUCAAUUUCACGUUUUUUCUUUCAUAUCAGUUUAAAUGGGUUAUGUGAUUUUGGUACUAAAAUGAUAAUCUUUCGGCAAAUUUCCUAUCUUGCGAUGAUCUUAACACUCAAAAUAGUUUUUUUUUUCUUUUUUUCUUUCUAGAGUUAUGGUGAUCAUUGAUCAUUUUUCAUUAAGCUGUUGGGUUAUGUAUCACAUUCACGAGGUCAGCCGCUAGAUAUUUUCCUUCUAAUCAGAUAACUUCAUUGUUCAUAUUGAAUCUUGAGGAACACAUUAUGUUUCAGUACUCAGAUUUUGAGUUGAUUACUUAGAUUUGCCUGAAUGCUUUUUCGUUUAUUUGAAUAAUAAAUGCAGACUCUUUUCUCCCCGGAAGCAGCUUGUGAGGUAAAAGAAGCAGAGAGACACUCUGAUGUUUUCCAUGAGGCCGAGCCUGAUGUAUGGAUGGUCAUGAGAAAAAUAAGGAGAUUGAAGCCAUAUGGAGGAUUGAUGCAUUGCACAAGGUGCAAAAAGCUUAUCCGAUCGCAUUUGUAUCCAUUAUCACACACUGUUUAAAUGGUACUGCAGCGGUGCAUUUCUCCAUGGAUUAAAAAUUCUGCAUUUACAACCUCUUAAUAAAGUUCUUUUCAGAUGUUUAGUUUUUUAAUUACUAAGUUGAAAAGAAUGAUCAUGUUGUCUACAACACUUGGUCGUAGAACUUGACCCCUGACGGUUUCAAAAGGUCAAAACAAACUUCUAAUCCAAAUUAAUUAUCAUUAGAUCCAAAU